rnacentral:lncRNA from 1 species
UCAAAAGAGAAGCUUUGAGGAAAAAGGAAGCACCCCUUUCCAUAGUCUAAAAAGAGAAGAGAUUGAGAGCUUUGGAUUCCUCCACUUUGACUUCAGUCUCUCAUCGCUGUGCUGAAAUUUGAGGCCGAGAUCUUGUUGUGUUUGCCAUUUUUAUUUUUUUCAAAAUUUAACAAGUUCUUUUUGAAAAAAAUUUAAUGCAUUCUUGAAGGUUUUUUGGCUGAAAGUUUAGGAGUUUUAACUAAUUUUUAGAUUGUUUUGGCUUCUUUGCCCUAAGAGCAAUGUUAUAUCAGUUAUUGUAGAGGUUAAGAUAGAGGAA